rnacentral:rRNA from 1 species
UACGUAGGUGGCAAGCGUUUGUCCGGAAUUAUUGGGCGUAAAGCGCGCGCAGGCGGUCCUUUAAGUCUGAUGUGAAAGCCCACGGCUCAACCGUGGAGGGUCAUUGGAAACUGGGGGACUUGAGUGCAGGAGAGAAGAGUGGAAUUCCGCGUGUAGCAGUGAAAUGCGUAGAUAUGCGGAGGAACACCGAUGGCGAAGGCGGCGACCUGGUCCUUUACUGACGCUGAGGCGCGAAAGCGUGGGGAGCAAACAGG